rnacentral:rRNA from 1 species
UACGUAGGGCGCAAGCGUUGUCCGGAAUUAUUGGGCGUAAAGAGCUCGUAGGCGGUUUGUCGCGUCUGCUGUGAAAACCUAAGGCUCAACCUUGGGCUUGCAGUGGGUACGGGCAGACUAGAGUGCGGUAGGGGUGACUGGAAUUCCUGGUGUAGCGGUGGAAUGCGCAGAUAUCAGGAGGAACACCGGUGGCGAAGGCGGCACUCUGGGCCGGUACUGACGCUGAGGAGCGAAAGCGUGGGGAGCGAACAGG